CCUGCCUCCAGUGCCACACCCUGUACCCAAUCCCUUCAGAAAGGCUCUGUAGCUCUGCCCUCAAGCACAGUUGCAGCCAAUGAGGGGAGUUGCCAUGUCCUCCUGCACCUUCACAGCCCUGCUCUGUCUUGGACUGACUCUGAGCCUCUGGAUCCCAGUGCUGACAGGGUCUCUCCCUAAGCCUAUCCUCAGAGUACAGCCAGACUCUGUGGUCUCCAGGUGGACUAAGGUGACCUUCUUGUGUGAAGACACAAUUGGAGGCAAUGUGUACCGCCUCUAUAAAGAUGGAAAGCUAUAUAAAACCGUAACAAAGAACAAACAGAAGCCAGCAAACAAGGCUGAAUUCUCAUUCUCAAAUGUAGACCUGAGUAAUGCAGGUCAAUAUGAAUGUUCCUACAGCACCCAGUAUAAAUCAUCAGGCUACAGUGACCUCCUGGAGCUGGUGGUGACAGGACACUACUGGACACCCAGCCUUUCAGCCCAGGCCAGCCCUGUGGUAACUUCAGGAGGGUAUGUCAUCCUCCAGUGUGAGUCCUGGCAGAGCAGGUUCAUUCUGACUGUAGAAGGACAGCAGAAGCUCAUAUGGAGACAAGACUCACAGUAUAACUACUCUACAAGGAAGUACCACGCCCUGUUCUCUGUGGGCCCUGUGACCCCCAACCAGAGAUGGAUAUGCAGAUGCUACAGUUAUGACAGGAAUAGACCAUAUGUGUUCUCAGCUCCAAGUGAAUCCGUGGAGUUCCUGGUCUCAGGUAAUCUCCAAAAACCAACCAUCAAGGCUGAACCAGGAUCUGUGAUCACCUCCAAAAGAGCAAUGACCAUCUGGUGUCAGGGGAACCUGGAUACAGAAGUAUAUUUUCUGCAUAAUGAGGGAAGCCAAAAAACAGAAAGCACACAGACCCUACAGGAGCCUGGGAACAAGGGCAAGUUCUUCAUCCCUUCUGUGACACAACAACAAGCAGGGCAAUAUCGCUGUUAUUGUUACAGCUCAGCUGGUUGGUCACAGCCCAGUGACACCCUGGAGCUCCUGGUGACAGGAAUCUAUGAACACUAUGAACCCAGGCUGUCGGCACUGACCAGCCGUGUGGUGACAGCAGGAGUGAAUAUAACCCUCCACUGUGCCUCACACAGUCACUAUGAUAAAUUCAUUCUCACGAAGGAAGAUAAGAAGUUUACCAGCUCACAGGACACAGAGCAUAUAUCUUCUAGUAGACAGUACCAAGCCCUGUUUAUGAUAGGACCCACAACCCCAUCCCACACAGGGACAUUCAAAUGUUAUGGUUACUACAAGAAUGCCCCACACCUGUGGACAGUACCUAGUGAUCUCCAACAAAUACUCAUCUCAGGGCUGUCCAAGAAGCCCUCUAUGCUGACUCACCAAGGCCAUAUCCUGGACCCUGGAAUGACCCUCACCUUGCAGUGUUUCUCUGACAUCAACUAUGACAGAUUUGCUCUGCACAAGGUGGGGGGAGCUGACAUCAUGUAGCACUCUAGCCAGCAGACUGACACUGGCUUCUAUGUGGCCAACUUCACACUUGGCUAUGUGAGUAGCUCCACUGGAGGCCAAUACAGAUGCUAUGGUGCACACAACCUCUCCUCUGAGUGGUCAGCCUCCAGUGACCCCCUGGACAUACUGAUCACAGGUGAAGAACUCAACAGACUCAGUCAGGAACCUAGCCUCUGCUCAGGCUCUCAAGGGGGAGCUGGAAAGCUGAUGGCCAGGAUAGAUACAGGAAUCCUAAGCAGCAGUGGACACAAGAAGACGAGAACAGGAGUUGAGCUCAGUCAGAGAAAAGAGACAGAGGCCCAGGUUCUCAGGAUGGAGUCAUGUGUGAUUCCAGCUCAGAACAAGGAAGCUAGCCUCUCAUCAUGCCUCUUCUCUUUAGGACAGCUCCCUAUCACUCCUUCCCUCUCAGUGAAGCCUAACUACACAGUGCACUCAGGAGAGACCGUGAGCCUGCUGUGUUGGUCAAUGGACUCUGUGGAUACUUUCAUUCUGUCCAAGGAGGGAUCGGCCCAGCAACCCCUGCGAUUAAAAUCAAAGUCCCAUGAUCAGCAGUCCCAGGCAGAAUUCUCCAUGAGUGCUGUGACCUCCCAUCUCUCAGGCAUCUACAGGUGCUGUGGUGCUCAAGAUUAAUCUUUCUACCUCUUGUCAUCUGCCAGUGCCCCUGUGGAGCUCACAGUCUCAGAAACCACUGAAUCCUCCACCUGGUCUCCCAAAAGGCCCAACCCACCAAUUCCCACAGAGAACCAGGAUCACACAACGGAGAAUCUCAUCAGGAUGGGGAUGGCAGUCGUGGUCCUCAUCGUCCUUUCGAUUCUAGCCACUGAGGCUUGGCGAAGCCAUAGACAGACCCACCAUGCAGCUGGGAACUACUCUGAGGAGAGAAGAAUGCAUCUUCAAUGUUCUACACUCUGGGAAAUAAAGAUGAUGACCCAAAGUUGUCAAAAAAAAACGAAAAAAAGAAAAAAACACUGUUGUGGUAUUGAGGAACUGCUGUGAUAGAAUGUCUGGGGAGCAAAAGUUUGGGGUUCAUAGGGAAGUGGAAUUUGAUAAUGAGGUGCUUCACCAACAAGUGAAUUACUGUCCCUCCACGUACUCGGAGCCUUUGUUUCCUGAACCGACACUCUUCUGAACCCAGAAAGUGAGGGAAUAGGCUGUCCCACCUGCCUGGAAUAUCUUUCACCUGUGGAUUGUAUUUUUCUGUAUUUCUUUAUGGGGUUUAUUCAUUCACAUUUAAAGGCCUCUGUCAUCUUUAUGAAUUGUAUUUAAGGACAGUUCCUUGUAUGUGAGUGAGUGUGCAUAUACGGGAGGGUUGGGUGUGUGUAUUAGCCUACUGCCAUUGGGUGUUCUUUCAGGCACCUUGGUGGGCAGGAGCUUGGGAGACAAAGGCUUAGUUGAUGUUCCUUGUGGCAGCAGACCUCCUGGAAAGCAUGCAGUCCUUGGGGUAGGAAAUGGAGUACUCAGUGUAGGUUAUUGCUCUUUCCUAAGUAUUCAGGGGAGUUGGCAGGACAGGGCUUGGUGAGGAGAUGCUUAACUGGUAUCCUGUAGGAUGGCAGCCCUCUGAGUAAUCAGGCAGGGUUGUGGCUGCUACUAUUUUUUAAAGGAACAAACCAAUAAAAUGACUCCUGGGUCAAUGUCUUGCUCAGCAACUAUCAGAGCAGCUUCCUCCUGCAGGAGAUGGGAACUUAUGCAGAAAUCCAAAACUGAAACUGCAGAGAAAGAUCUGAAAAUACUGAAUCCUGAAUGGAUAAACACUUGCAAAAGAACAUUUAGUUUUUCUAACAAGUCACACUGGUACACAAAGCACACUGAAGGGCAGGUCUCAUGCCCAGUGGUACGUGGCCAACAUAAAAUGAACUCACUGGUAUUUUCGAAGACUGUGCUUAUAAUGCUUGUCUGUUACUUAUAUAUUAUGAUGACCUGUCAUGUGUUUUUAGAAGAUCUCAGGGAAUUCAUAAUGUAGAUGUAUAAAAAAAUCAUAGAACUACACACCUCACAAAUGUACAGUUCUAUUGACCAAUGACUCCUGUAUAAUUAGCAAAAAGAUUUUCUUUGUUUUUUUCUUCUAUUUUUCUAUUCUGUAUGACUACUUACAUUAUUGUGCCUAAUGUCAUUUCACUGUGAAUUUCAUUUUUAUUUUUUUGUGAUUUAAAUGCAUUUAUACAUCAAAUGUAUUAGUAACAAGUACUUUGAGAAUCAUAUAAUACAUAAAAAUUUGUUCAACUUCUAUAUUCACAUCCUUUCAUACCCUAAAUUAUCAUUAAUAAAUAUUCAAUACUAUCCUUAACUGAG